UACGUAGGGCGCAAGCGUUAUCCGGAAUUAUUUGGGCGUAAAAGAGCUCGUAGGCGGUUUGUCGCGUUCUGCCGUGAAAGUCCGGGGCUCAACUCCGGAUCUGCGGUGGGUACGGGGCAGACUAGAGUGAUGUAGGGGGAGACUGGAAUUUCCAGGUGUAGCGGUGAAAUGCGUAGAUAUCUGGAGGAAUACCGGUGGCGAAGGCGGCAAUCCUGGCCGGCAUUGACGCUGAGGAGCGAAAAGCUAGGGGGAGCAAACGGGG
rnacentral:rRNA from 1 species